UUACGGCCACAUCGCGUUGAAACACCGAUUAUUGUACGAUUACCGAAGUUAAGCAACGUCGAGUCUGCUCAGUACCAAAGUGGGUGACCGUUUGUGAAUACCACGUACUGCAAG